AGUCCGAAGUGCUUUGGGAUGGUGGACAUCUUGACAAACUGGACCUGUAAAAUACGCACACACACACACACCCGAAAAAAAACGGCCCUUGUGUGGUGCCCACAGUCCUAAGUGAAUAUGGGGAUCCUGAAGGCACUGAGAUCCUUACUGAACCCUAGGAGGAACUGCUGUGGAAGACCCCUGAGAGACUUACCUGUGGAUGCUGGAAGGAGGGAGAGAGCAAGGGAGCCAGAAAACAGAGUACAUGUGGCUCCCCAAGAGCCAAGAGCAGGAGUUAAAGGCACAGAACUAAACCUAUGAAAAUAACUGACAGAAAAGAAUGGAUGGGGGCACCCAGGAGGCAGUGACGAGACAGUGGGGAGAGAGCCUCUGAACACCACUGGAUUCUGCAGGUUUGACUAUUCAGCUAGAGAACAUAUGUACUAAGGAACCACUUAGAAUGUGACAAUUUGCUCAGAGGGUGACCAGCUGCAAGUAGCUGAGAAUCAUUAAGUGGCAGGAGGCACAGAGGAGAGCUGCUGUGACACCUGAUUUGGAAGUGCAGCCUUUUUCCUGUCUCUCGUCCUGCACCUUCAACGCAGUCUGCAUCAGAGGGACCAAUAUCUAGCCUUUGCCCCUUUCCUGCCAGGCCAGGUGAGGUAUCAGGAAGAAAAUCUGGCCAGAACUCGUUAGACUUUCUCUCUCUCGAUGCAACAAGGCUCACAGAGUGCUUCCUGUGGUGAACUCUGUACUUUGACUCAAGCAAAUCCUGGUUUAUAGGAUUAUUUUCAUGUCUCCUAUUGGGACAGAAAAGCCAAACUGUGCUCCAAUCCAUGGCGGGGGUGAGGGGGUUGUGGUAAUGGCUUUUGUUUUUGUUUUUUUUUCCCCCUUUGAGAAAAGCUCUUGCAAUACAGCCCUGAGACGCCUGGACCCUGCUGUGUAUACAGGCUGGCCUUCGGGUGAUCUUCCUGCCUUGGCUUGCCAAGCGCUGGGGUUACAGGUGUGUGAUCCCACAUUCAAGACUCUGCUCCAGACUCUAAGUGAAGCAGAACCACACCAAGCACUCCCUAGAUGACCUGGGCCCAUGCUGUGCGGAAACCCUGAAGCCCAAGGAGAGGAUCCCUGCCUGUCGCCCCCCCCCCAAUUUAUUUCCUAAAUUCAUGUCACUGCCAACUUCUAAUGGACUUCUCCUAAAGUUCCAUCAGAAAUGCCUAAGCCCAUGGACAGCUUAUCUCAGUUGGCAAAAAUUCCA